rnacentral:lncRNA from 7 species
AGACCUGGUACCUCUGGUGAUGCACCUUGCAGUAGCCCUGCACUUGCUUUCCUACUUUUUAUAAACUGGAAUAUUUUUGUUUCCUGAUUGCCACCUAACAACUUUGACUUGGAUGCCCAAGUAGUGCUGAUUUAUGGUCCCGAACAUCUGCUGUGCUGAGGCUUGUCAUCGUUGUAGCAGCCUGUGCUUUGGGAAGAGGAACACCAGAGCUGCCAGCAGCCCAUGGAAGCCCUGGCUUGGAAGUUCUGGGGCAGUUUUUCUUGAGCAGCUGGAUCCUCUCCCACAGCAGUGAUGGCUCUGCUCACCUUUCCAUGGCCUUUUUUUGUUCUGAGCCCCAGCUGGGAGCAUUCCUGGAAAAGUCUCCAGUUCAAUGUUGAGAAAUGUCUGAGAACAGCUUCAACUCUGCUGGGAGGCCCUGCUGAGCACAGUGAUACAGCUUAAGGGUGGAGAGAGGUGAACAGCCCCAAUGUUGGGCUGUCCAGGCAGCGCUGGAGCAGGGAUUGGGUGGUGGGGGCUGAACCCGGGAGGGCUUUGGAGGACUCAGAAAGGUGAGCUGUGCCCCCUCCCUGGGGGCUUAAGGUGCCUGUGGGGCUGUGUGGUCCUGCUGAGCUGUGACUGCCAGUUCUGUGUGGGCUUUACCUCGGGCUCAGGGUGGUUGUGCACAGUGCACUGCUCUGUGGCCAGCCCAGGGGCUGGUGAGGGUCUGUGCAGCCUCCUUGCUGCUGCUCAGUGCUCUGUCCCCAGCAGGACUGGCUGGGGCUGCUCCCCGUGCUCUCCUUCCCUUGUGCACAGAGCUGGGUGUGCCGGAGCUGUGGCUGCAGGGCUGCAUGGAGGGAGCUGGGAGCAUGCAGCCCCCUCAUGAUCUGUGUUAUGGGAAAAGAGCAGCUUCAGCUGUGCUGCAGGAAUCCCACAGUGCAUACCCUACAGCUGCUGCGUGGGAUCCAUGGGGUGUUGUAUCAUGGAAUGGGUAGAGUAGCUCACAGCUACUGCUUGCAGCAAACCCAUCUUCCAGCCAAUGAAAAUAAAAGCUCCAGGUGCUGCAGUGCAGGGGGCAAAGCCUGAGCUCCCAGCAGGGCAGCAGGAUGAUGGGGGCUGCCCCUGGAU